rnacentral:tRNA from 1 species
GGGGAUUUAGCUCAGUGGCAUAAGCAUCUGCCUCGCAAGCAGUGCAGUUGUGAGUUCCAUCCCUAUUAUCCCUC